AGCGUACACGGUGGAUGCCCUGGCAGUCAGAGGCGAUGAAGGACGUGCUAAUCUGCGAUAAGCGUCGGUAAGGUGAUAUGAACCGUUAUAACCGGCGAUUUCCGAAUGGGGAAACCCAGUGUGUUUCGACACACUAUCAUUAACUGAAUCCAUAGGUUAAUGAGGCGAACCGGGGGAACUGAAACAUCUAAGUACCCCGAGGAAAAGAAAUCAACCGAGAUUCCCCCAGUAGCGGCGAGCGAACGGGGAGGAGCCCAGAGCCUGAAUCAGUGUGUGUGUUAGUGGAAGCGUCUGGAAAGGCGCGCGAUACAGGGUGACAGCCCCGUACACAAAAAUGCACAUGCUGUGAGCUCGAUGAGUAGGGCGGGACACGUGGUAUCCUGUCUGAAUAUGGGGGGACCAUCCUCCAAGGCUAAAUACUCCUGACUGACCGAUAGUGAACCAGUACCGUGAGGGAAAGGCGAAAAGAACCCCGGCGAGGGGAGUGAAAAAGAACCUGAAACCGUGUACGUACAAGCAGUGGGAGCCUCUUUUAUGGGGUGACUGCGUACCUUUUGUAUAAUGGGUCAGCGACUUAUAUUCUGUAGCAAGGUUAACCGAAUAGGGGAGCCGAAGGGAAACCGAGUCUUAACUGGGCGUUAAGUUGCAGGGUAUAGACCCGAAACCCGGUGAUCUAGCCAUGGGCAGGUUGAAGGUUGGGUAACACUAACUGGAGGACCGAACCGACUAAUGUUGAAAAAUUAGCGGAUGACUUGUGGCUGGGGGUGAAAGGCCAAUCAAACCGGGAGAUAGCUGGUUCUCCCCGAAAGCUAUUUAGGUAGCGCCUCGUGAAUUCAUCUCCGGGGGUAGAGCACUGUUUCGGCAAGGGGGUCAUCCCGACUUACCAACCCGAUGCAAACUGCGAAUACCGGAGAAUGUUAUCACGGGAGACACACGGCGGGUGCUAACGUCCGUCGUGAAGAGGGAAACAACCCAGACCGCCAGCUAAGGUCCCAAAGUCAUGGUUAAGUGGGAAACGAUGUGGGAAGGCCCAGACAGCCAGGAUGUUGGCUUAGAAGCAGCCAUCAUUUAAAGAAAGCGUAAUAGCUCACUGGUCGAGUCGGCCUGCGCGGAAGAUGUAACGGGGCUAAACCAUGCACCGAAGCUGCGGCAGCGACGCUUAUGCGUUGUUGGGUAGGGGAGCGUUCUGUAAGCCUGUGAAGGUGUGCUGUGAGGCAUGCUGGAGGUAUCAGAAGUGCGAAUGCUGACAUAAGUAACGAUAAAGCGGGUGAAAAGCCCGCUCGCCGGAAGACCAAGGGUUCCUGUCCAACGUUAAUCGGGGCAGGGUGAGUCGACCCCUAAGGCGAGGCCGAAAGGCGUAGUCGAUGGGAAACAGGUUAAUAUUCCUGUACUUGGUGUUACUGCGAAGGGGGGACGGAGAAGGCUAUGUUGGCCGGGCGACGGUUGUCCCGGUUUAAGCGUGUAGGCUGGUUUUCCAGGCAAAUCCGGAAAAUCAAGGCUGAGGCGUGAUGACGAGGCACUACGGUGCUGAAGCAACAAAUGCCCUGCUUCCAGGAAAAGCCUCUAAGCAUCAGGUAACAUCAAAUCGUACCCCAAACCGACACAGGUGGUCAGGUAGAGAAUACCAAGGCGCUUGAGAGAACUCGGGUGAAGGAACUAGGCAAAAUGGUGCCGUAACUUCGGGAGAAGGCACGCUGAUAUGUAGGUGAAGCGACUUGCUCGUGGAGCUGAAAUCAGUCGAAGAUACCAGCUGGCUGCAACUGUUUAUUAAAAACACAGCACUGUGCAAACACGAAAGUGGACGUAUACGGUGUGACGCCUGCCCGGUGCCGGAAGGUUAAUUGAUGGGGUCAGCGCAAGCGAAGCUCUUGAUCGAAGCCCCGGUAAACGGCGGCCGUAACUAUAACGGUCCUAAGGUAGCGAAAUUCCUUGUCGGGUAAGUUCCGACCUGCACGAAUGGCGUAAUGAUGGCCAGGCUGUCUCCACCCGAGACUCAGUGAAAUUGAACUCGCUGUGAAGAUGCAGUGUACCCGCGGCAAGACGGAAAGACCCCGUGAACCUUUACUAUAGCUUGACACUGAACAUUGAGCCUUGAUGUGUAGGAUAGGUGGGAGGCUUUGAAGUGUGGACGCCAGUCUGCAUGGAGCCGACCUUGAAAUACCACCCUUUAAUGUUUGAUGUUCUAACGUUGACCCGUAAUCCGGGUUGCGGACAGUGUCUGGUGGGUAGUUUGACUGGGGCGGUCUCCUCCUAAAGAGUAACGGAGGAGCACGAAGGUUGGCUAAUCCUGGUCGGACAUCAGGAGGUUAGUGCAAUGGCAUAAGCCAGCUUGACUGCGAGCGUGACGGCGCGAGCAGGUGCGAAAGCAGGUCAUAGUGAUCCGGUGGUUCUGAAUGGAAGGGCCAUCGCUCAACGGAUAAAAGGUACUCCGGGGAUAACAGGCUGAUACCGCCCAAGAGUUCAUAUCGACGGCGGUGUUUGGCACCUCGAUGUCGGCUCAUCACAUCCUGGGGCUGAAGUAGGUCCCAAGGGUAUGGCUGUUCGCCAUUUAAAGUGGUACGCGAGCUGGGUUUAGAACGUCGUGAGACAGUUCGGUCCCUAUCUGCCGUGGGCGCUGGAGAACUGAGGGGGGCUGCUCCUAGUACGAGAGGACCGGAGUGGACGCAUCACUGGUGUUCGGGUUGUCAUGCCAAUGGCACUGCCCGGUAGCUAAAUGCGGAAGAGAUAAGUGCUGAAAGCAUCUAAGCACGAAACUUGCCCCGAGAUGAGUUCUCCCUGACUCCUUGA
rnacentral:rRNA from 1 species